GAUGAACGCUAGCGGCAGGCUUAAUACAUGCAAGUCGAGGGGCAGCAUGAUUGUAGCAAUACAAUUGAUGGCGACCGGCAAACGGGUGCGGAACACGUACACAACCUUCCAACAAGUGGGGGAUAGCCCAGAGAAAUUUGGAUUAAUACCCCGUAACAUCGCGAUGUGGCAUCACAUUGCUAUUAUAGAUUUUUCGCUUGUUGAUGGGUGUGCGGCUGAGUAGAUAGUUGUCGGGGUAACGGCCCACCAAGUCUACGAUCAGUAGCUGAUGUGAGAGCAUGAUCAGCAACACGGGCACUGAGACACGGGCCCGACUCCUACGGGAGGCAGCAGUAAGGAAUAUUGGACAAUGGACGCAAGUCUGAUCCAGCCAUGCCGCGUGAAGGAUUAAGGUCCUCUGGAUUGUAAACUUCUUUUAUAAGGGACGAAAAAAGGCUUUUCUAAGUCGUCUGACGGUACCUUAUGAAUAAGCACCGGCUAACUCCGUGCCAGCAGCCGCCGUAACAC
rnacentral:rRNA from 1 species